UACGUAGGGUGCAAGCGUUGUCCGGAAUUAUUGGGCGUAAAGAGCUCGUAGGCGGUCUGUCGCGUCGGCUGUGAAAACCCGGAGCUCAACUCCGGGCCUGCAGUCGAUACGGGCAAACUGGAGUGUUGCAGGGGAGACUGGAAUUCCUGGUGUAGCGGUGAAAUGCGCAGAUAUCGGGAGGAACACCAGUAGCGAAGGCGGCACUCUGGGCCGGUACUGACGCUGAGGAGCGAAAGCGUGGGGAGCAAACAGG
rnacentral:rRNA from 1 species